AGAGUUUGAUCCUGGCUCAGAACGAACGCUGGCGGCGUGCUUAACACAUGCAAGUCGAACGCGAAAGUAGUCUUCGGACUGCGAGUAGAGUGGCGCACGGGUGAGUAACGCGUAAAUAAUCUACCCUGAUGUCUGGGAUAACCAGCCGAAAGGCUGACUAAUACCGGGUAUAUGCUUCCCUGUUGGGGGAAUCAGGAAAGGUGGCCUCUGAUUUAAGCUACCGCAUUUGGAUGAGUUUGCGUACCAUUAGCUAGUUGGUGGGGUAAUGGCCUACCAAGGCUUCGAUGGUUAGCGGGUCUGAGAGGAUGAUCCGUCACACUGGCACUGGAACACGGGCCAGACUCCUACGGGAGGCAGCAGUGAGGAAUAUUGCGCAAUGGGGGAAACCCUGACGCAGCGACGCCGCGUGAGUGAGGAAGGCCUUCGGGUCGUAAAGCUCUGUCAGUAGGGAAGAAGUGCGUAUAAGUUAAUACCUUAUACGUUUGACGGUACCUACAAAGGAAGCACCGGCUAACUCCGUGCCAGCAGCCGCGGUAAUACGGAGGGUGCAAGCGUUGUUCGGAAUCACUGGGCGUAAAGGGCGCGCAGGCGGUCUUAAUAGUCAGAUGUGAAAGCCCACGGCUCAACCGUGGAAGUGCAUUUGAAACUGUAAGACUUGAGUAUCAGAGGGGAAAGUGGAAUUCCCGGUGUAGAGGUGAAAUCCGUAGAUAUCGGGAGGAAUA
rnacentral:rRNA from 1 species